GCGCUACGAGUUCUACCGCGACCGCGAUGUCGCGUUCGAAGGCUUCACCGGCCGGAAUUAUCUUUAUCGCGAGGAAUUCACGGCACGCAUCUGGAACACGCGCUACGAUUUCCCCGCCAUCAAGGACGGCCGCGUCAAGCAGGAGCUGCUGCCGGACGACACGCCAUCGGGCGCGCAGGGCUGGUUUCUGAACACGCGCCGCGCGCAGUUCAAGGAACCGCGCGUGCGCGAGGCGAUGAUUCAGGCCUUCGACUUCGAAUGGACCAACAAGACCAUCANUGCUUAUGCGCGUACGGUCUCGCCGUUCCAGAACUCCGAUCUGAUGGCGGAGGGCCCGCCG
rnacentral:misc_RNA from 1 species